GCCCAGGUGGUGGAACUGGUAGACACGCUACCUUGAGGUGGUAGUGGGCUUCGCCUGUGCGGGUUCAAAUCCCGCCUUGGGUA
rnacentral:tRNA from 2 species